UACGAAGGGGGCUAGCGUUGCUCGGAAUUACUGGGCGUAAAGCGCACGUAGGCGGAUAUUUAAGUCAGGGGUGAAAUCCCAGAGCUCAACUCUGGAACUGCCUUUGAUACUGGGUAUCUUGAGUAUGGAAGAGGUAAGUGGAAUUGCGAGUGUAGAGGUGAAAUUCGUAGAUAUUCGCAGGAACACCAGUGGCGAAGGCGGCUGACUGGUCCAUAACUGACGCUGAGGUGCGAAAGCGAGGGGAGCAAACAGGGAG
rnacentral:rRNA from 1 species